rnacentral:sRNA from 1 species
UAUAGUAUGUUCGAAGAUUUUCUUUCUAUUAAAUAUCCAGGAUUAAACGAAAAAGAACUCUUCGUGAAAAGAAACGAGGAAUAUCAUGUGUGGGUGAAAGAUUAUGUAUGUCUAAAUAGUUUAUAAUAUAUGAUUUGCAUUUAUUUAUUGUUAUUCUUAUCUUUAUAAUGAUGUUUAUUUCCAAAUUUGCAUACAGGUUACAUAUUGGAACUCUAGUAAUCCUUUUCCAACUUGGGUUCAAGAGAUAGUCGAUGGACCUUAGCACAAAGUCAAAACAUGGCCAAUGUAUUUUACAAGAGGCUAUUUGUUUCAUACGCAGAGUCAUGGAGCUGGACGUAAGACUUGUAACUAUGGUGUAUGUGUGAAAGGUAAAAAUUAUACGGAUGCAUCUGACGCAGCAGAUUUUUACGGCAACUUAACUGAUAUCAUAGAACUUGAGUAUGAGGGGGUGGUCAGUUUGAAAAUCACAAUUUUUAAAUGUUCGUGGUAUGACCCUAAGCUCUGAAGAGGUACUC